rnacentral:rRNA from 1 species
GUCUACGGCCAUACGCCCCCUGAACGCACUUGAUCUCGUCAGAAGCUAAGCAGGGUUGGGCCUGGUUAGUAUUUGGAUGGGAGACCAUUGGGGGAAUACUGGGUUCUGUAGGCU